UACGAAGGGGGCUAGCGUUGCUCGGAAUGACUGGGCGUAAAGGGCGCGUAGGCGGCUUGCACAGUCAGGCGUGAAAUUCCUGGGCUCAACCUGGGGACUGCGCUUGAGACGUGUGGGCUUGAGUUCGGCAGGGGAGACUGGAAUUCCUGGUGUAGCGGUGAAAUGCGCAGAUAUCAGGAGGAACACCGGUGGCGAAGGCGGGUCUCUGGGCAGUAACUGACGCUGAGGAGCGAAAGCGUGGGGAGCGAACAGG
rnacentral:rRNA from 1 species